UUUUAGAAAGGAACCUAAUACCAGGAAUACACAAGAUGUAAGCCAGCCAAACUACACCUCAGCAAGCAGGAACUAUUGAAAAUAAAAGAAAUUGACAUGACAAAGGUGGAUGUAUCUGCUCUUGACUUUGCAGGCUCUGAUCAGUCCCACGAUUUUAGGAGUUAUCAGGGAUACAG
rnacentral:misc_RNA from 1 species